rnacentral:rRNA from 1 species
AUACCCGCUGAACUUAAGCAUAUCAAUAGGCCGGAGGAAA